UGGGCCAAGACGAGAGGUCCUCAUCUAGGUUUUGUUUUGGGCCAAACGAAGCGCAUCCUCCAACUUCCCCUCGCCGCCGCCUCAACUCCUGCCGCCGGCCGCCGCUCGCCGCCCACCCAUCUCCCUCGAUGCCGGACAUCCCCACCCACCAAAUUCCCUCCGCCCCGCUGUCCAACCCUUGCUCAUCGCCUCCUGGACACGCCGUCGCCGUCGAGUAGCACCGCCCGAGGCUCAAGCCGUCGCCGUCGAGGAGCACCGCCCGAGGCUCAAGCCGGCGCUGGACCUCCUCCAUGGCGUCCGCGUCUACCUCUCCCUCCUCGGUCAAGUCCCGAUCUCCGUUUCCUGACCUUGAUUUUAUUCCUAUUGCUCAUGCUCUGUCCCGUGCAGAAAUUUUGGAGGGGGUCAUGGCCGGCCUCCCCCAUCUGCUGCUCUGCUGGUGACUGUGUGCUCGCCAGCACGGCCAAGGAGACGCCGACGACCACGCACCAUGAGUCGGCGACCUGGACAUGAUCGUCCAGGAGAACCCGACCACGGCGACGCCCACAGAAUAAGGGGAGAAGUGGAGCUGGAGCUUGUCAGGAGGUAGCGAUGGCUGCCAGAUCCGGCUGGAAGGAUGCGGUGGCCUUCUUUUUCGACUCCGUGGGUUUAGGAAAAUGAGGACUAAAUGAGAGACAUGUGUCGCAGCUGGAACCUGUGGCUGCAGGCCAUCACUUGGAAGGAAGCUGGAAGACCCUGGGGACAAGCUUGGCCGGCUUCCUUUCUAGCGCCUUAAUGAACUGGUUAUGAUGCAUGUUAUGUUGUAUGUAACUUGCAUGCUGCUGUGCAUCAACUUUGCCCGGUAUUGUCCGGUGAUGCGGACAUUUUCGUUGAUUAUAUGUUUGUGUCACAUGGGCUGUGUCGUAUGCACCAUUGUCUUAAUUGACGUAUGAUAUUUGCUGUGUAGGUUUGGAUGUCCAAAAAACAGGCAAGGGAUAAAUUGAGCUGGCCCAGAAGGUAGCCAUGGCUGCCGGAUCUGGCCGGCAGGCAGCGGUUCCUUCUUCUUCGAAUCCGUGGGUUUAGCAUGUAAAGAAAGAAGAGCAAGAAGGCUAGAAAGAAGGACCUGCCCAGAUCCUUUCACUUUCUGCAUGUAAUCUUCUUGGUGCUGUAGUUGGGAAGCGCGAACCAGGUGUCCCGUCGUGUGUAGUGCCGCUCUUCGGUCCUUGUAAUAUUCGGUUGUACUCGAUGUUGUAAAAUCCAUUUUUGUAAUGCUCCAGGCUUUGGAAGUUGUAACAAUUUGGGUAGUACUCCAUGUGCACGUGUGUGAUGUUUGUUCCUGGUUCGCGUUUCUUUGGGUUAGACUUGUCAGGAAGGUUGGAUCGUGUGGCUGUACGAACAUUUAUUCUACUACUACUAUAUUGUUUGAUUUGUGGUCUGAAUGUUGCAAAACGAGGAAAUGUCAUGGCAAAA